rnacentral:rRNA from 1 species
GACAGAGGCCCCAAGCGUUAGGCGGAAUCACUGGGCUUAAAGCGUGUGUAGGCGGACGCCUAAGUGUCUUGUGAAAUCCCACGGCUCACCCGUGGAACUGCUGGGCAUACUGGGCGUCUUGGGCCAACUAGGGGCAGCCGGAACAAGCGGUGGAGCGGUGAAGUGCGUAGAUAUUCGGAAGAACACCAGUGGCGAAGGCGGCUCACUGGCCCGGUACUGACGCUGAUGUGCGAAAGCGUGGGGAGCAAACAGG